UACGGAGGGGGCUAGCGUUGCUCGGAAUCACUGGGCGUAAAGCGCACGUAGGCGGAUUGUUAAGUCAGGGGUGAAAUCCUGGAGCUCAACUCCAGAACUGCCUUUGAUACUGGCGAUCUUGAGUCCGGGAGAGGUGAGUGGAACUGCGAGUGUAGAGGUGAAAUUCGUAGAUAUUCGCAAGAACACCAGUGGCGAAGGCGGCUCACUGGCCCGGUACUGACGCUGAGGUGCGAAAGCCAGGGGAGCAAACGGG
rnacentral:rRNA from 1 species